AUAUUUGGUUUUGGAGUGAGCUCACGACAAUGGCUAUGAGGACAAUCAAGGUGCAGCUUCUACUUAUUGUCACAAAAGGGUCACAAAAAGAAACACACUAUUCAAUAGAGGAUUAAUGGUUUAGGACCUGUCUCAUGGUCCGCAAUGUUCACCUCCUCUGUUGCGGUGGAAGCCGAAAAUGCUAGAAAAGCAGUGAUGCAGAAGAACUCGCAGUGGGUUUCAAUACUUUCCCAACUCGGCUCUGCACUGAUGGUUACUCAAUGAUCGAUAGUCGCAUGGUA